rnacentral:rRNA from 1 species
CAGUCGCCGCGGUAAUACAGAGGAUGCAAGCGUUAUCCGGAAUGAUUGGGCGUAAAGCGUCUGUAGGUGGCUUUUCAAGUCCGCCGUCAAAUCCCAGGGCUCAACCCUGGACAGGCGGUGGAAACUACCAAGCUGGAGUACGGUAGGGGCAGAGGGAAUUUCCAGUGGAGCGGUGAAAUGCGUUGAGAUCGAAAAGAACACCAACAGCGAAAGCACUCUGCUGGGACGACACUGACACUAAGAGACGAAAGCUAGGGGAGCAAAUGGGAUUAGAUACCCCCGUAGUCCCUGUCUCUUAUAC